rnacentral:lncRNA from 1 species
CCUCAUAAACAUCUACAAUUAUUUGUUAAUAAAAAUAAUUUUAAGAAUAAAGAUGUAUGAGAUAAGCAACAUAAAAAUACGAUUUAUUUAUUUAUUUGGGGGGGUUGGUAUUGGCGAUCGAACUCAGGACCUUGUGCCUGCAAGGCAGGCACUGUGACACUGAGCUAAAUCCCCGGCUAUUUAUGUGUAUUUUUAAUGUAGCUAUAUAAAUUUGUGUUUGUUUUUGGUACCGGGGAUUGAACUCAGGUCCUUGAGCUUGCACAGCAGGCAGCGAAACCACUGAGCUAAAUCCCCAGCCCUAUAAAUGUUUUUUAAUUCCAUAAAAUUGCUGUCUCUUAUGUACAAACCCAUUCACAUUGUUCUUUAACUUUGUACAGAUACCCUCUCAGUUGCAUUAGAAGUCAGCCCAUACAGUUCUUCCCAAGGGUAGAUUUGGAAGGCGUAUUGAAAAGUUUCCUUUCAGAUUUAAAAUCUAAACUGCCUCAUAUAUGUGGAUUGCCCAUAAAGAUGACAAAUAAGCCAUGCUACUAUACAAAGGAACUAACCAAACCUCAUAUACAGGAAAACAAAGUCAAGCCACCCAACUUGACCACUAAAAAACUGUUCAGGGCAUCUGUGACACAAGCUAGUUCCAGAAAACCUGCUCCUAUUCCAAGUCUUCUCCCAUGUUCAGAAGUAGCAGACCACAAGGUGGAGCUUCCCAUCAGCAAGUCACAGUCCGGCAUUUCCUCAGUUCUACAUCACCAGCCAGAGUACAUUCUAGGUAGAAAGCAAUCUCUGUCUCACAAGGUACCACAACUACAAUUGGAAGAAUCAAAUCCCAACAGAGGAAAUACUCAAGUUUCAUACACAAAUCUUAGCUCCCAAAGUAAGAUCACCCCUAAAUUCAUACCAGUUUUCAAAAAGGGAUUGUCACCGAUGAACAAAAAUAUUUCAGUACUUGGCAACAGGAAAAGAAAACACCAUGUCAUAACGGAAUCAAAAUUGUAUUCACUUAAAACUAAUGUAAUCCAGGAUGACAAACUGAAUUUAGGUCCAACUAGUAAAAAAAGACCUAACAGUAACAUUCAGGUAUAUGAUAGAAAUUUAAAUCAAAAGGGCUCUAGACCUCUGCAAGAAAAAAAUACCGAAUGCUAUGAAAAUAUAAAAUAUCCCUCUCCUAAUGUGAGCUUAAAUGAAAGUAAACAGUUUUCUAACAGUAUGAUGUGUCAGGUGUCAAAUAACAGUUUAAGUGUGAUGAAAAAUGCUGUGGACUUCCAUGGAAAAGAAAAUCUAACAAGUAAAUGUAUAACACAGAUUUUAAGGAAAGGCUGUGAGUCAAUAAAACUGAAGAGGCAACCAUACAUUUUUGAACCAGACACAGAAACUGAAGAUCCCCAACUGCUACAACAGCCAGCAAACCAAACUAAAGAAGUUGAUCUAAGUGACCACAGGUUGGUAGUAAGCAGAACAGCCUACAGGUCUAAAAGAAAAGUAUGUCCUGAGUCUUCAAAAACUUCAAAGAAGCAUCAUUCCAAUACUAUGCAUUAUGAACAACCCAGUUCUUCUAGGAGACAGGUAAAAAAAUUUUUUAAUCUGGGGAUAUUCAUGAUAUGAUAGCUAGACCUUUAAGACUCCUAAGUAAGAAUUUAAAUGAUUUGCCCCAAAUUAUUUAGAAACACAGUAAUUAAGAAACAGUAUACCUACUGGAGCAUAACCAUAUUUAUACAGCUAAUUUGUAACAAAAUACUCUUCUUCAAUCUGAUAUAGAUACAUUACUUAAAUAAGUCAAAACCUAACAAAUUUCUCACCAUUCCUAAACCUUAGAACAUGGAUAUGAAAGAAGAGUAGUAUAUCCACCAGGUAACUGAGGUGAAACCUUUUGUUUUUCUUUACAUUAUUCAAACUGAGAUUGCCACACUUAAGAAUACCUAGUCCCUUGGUAAAAAGGAACUACUUUUAAAUUCCUUGAUAUUUUUUAAACUCAACUGCUUUAUAUAAUAAAAGCCUCAAAGAGGGAUGGAUAGUGGGUUAAGAACCCCCUCCCCUCAAAGUCCCUCCCUUUCUGUUCUGGGGCCUUUUCCGUCUAGGAAGCAAGCAAGCACAUCAGCAGCAGGCCAUUAGAAUACUUCCUCUGGGAUACCUACCCAAGACAAUAGAACUUAAGUGAGCCUUCAGGGCUAAUCUUUAAAUUAAAACUUAUACCCAAAAUGCUGCAGUACUGGUUAGCUGUAAACUUGAAAUUUAACUGAUGUCUAGUCCAUUGCACUAAAGUUACAGAAUUAUGCAUCUGGAAAUUACAUUUUAUUCCGCUCUCCCAUUUGUUCUAAGAACAAACAUAAUACUAAAAUUGCACUUUUUUUUGCAUAGAAGUAAUGGAAUACUUUCAAAUUCUUUAAGAACCAACUAGAAAACAUUUUCUUCUUUUCUCUUUCAAAUGCUAUUUUUUUUCCUAUAAUUAAUGUAAUUUUCAGCCUGAUUUGAGUUAAAUAAAAAGUACUUAAGUCUAUUCCUGCAUAUAAUAUGGUUUAUGUACUUUUUGACAUUUUACAUUUCAAUGUACUCUGUAGGUCGUUGAGGAAAAAGUGUGCCUUAAAAAUUAUUAUUUACAUUUUUUUGUUUGUUUUUUUGGUACCAGGGAUCGAACUCCGGUCCUUGCCCUUGCGUAGCAGGCAGUGAAACCACUGAGCUAAAUCCCCAGCCAUUUACAUUUUUAGAAAUAAAUGAAAUCUAUUCCAGAUUUCAUGUUGUUUUGCAAGUAUAGCACUUUCUUACUUUGAAUUGCCAAAGACUUGACAGUUUUUAAUACUAAAUCAUUCUGUCAGCUAGAAAGAAAAACAAUGAAAAAAAUUAUAGGCUAUCAUUACAGAAAAUAGUUUCCCUUAUUUAUAAAAUUAAUAAAUACUACUGUGAAAAGUUUGAGUAACUCAAAGCAGUUCCAGGAAAAAAUAAAAACUCCCUGUAAUUCCUCUUUGCAGAGAUGUCCACCCUGAACCCUGACAAACACUCUUCCAGGUGUCUCAUGGUCAUUCCUAUGAAAAUGAAUCCAGCUUUACAUGCUGCUGUGGAACAUCCUUAUUCACUUUAAAAUUGUCUUCUUAAUGUUUGCAUAGUAUUCCAUUAUAAGUGGUAUACUGUAUUUAAUUCCCUAUUGAUUGAAACAAGUUGCUGCUGACUUUUCACUAUUAUAACAGUCAUGUAAAUAGACUUGUAUGGGUCUUUGUAGGGUAUCCAAUUAUAUAGUAUAGUUGAAAAUAUGUGACCCUUUGUAUUUUUAUUGUUGAAACUUAUUUGAAGUCAGUAUUUUUAUUGUCAAAAUUUUCAAACCACUCAAGGUACAGAUAAUAGUAUGAAAAACCCAGUGCCUAUUGCCCAGAUCUACCACUUUUACACACUUUUUCUGUGAUAUUUUAAAGCAAAUUCAAAACAUCAUAUAAUUUCAUUCAUGAAUACUCCAGUGUGUAUCUCAAACAUAUGAUAUAAUAUGUUUUUAAAGGUAAAAUAUGUGUAUGUAUUAAAUUUUGGGGGUGUCUAUCUCCAUUGGCUCACUAAAUUUCACUUUUAUUUUUAUAUGCAUACUAAUAGGAAGCCCUGAAUACAUAAAGCCUCUUUCACAACACAACUAGAGCCUUUUUACAGUAGAGAUUUCUGUGUUCAACAAUAUUCAUUCUGAUAAGUGCCAGACUUAUCUGGCACUGAGUCCAUUACCAAAACAAACAAGAUGUCCAGGGCCUGAGCCCCAGGGCUGGCAGUCCAGUCUAGCAAACCUUUCUGCUCCUGGCCCAGGUUUAAGGAUAUCUAUCUAUAUCUAUAUCUAUAUCUAUAUCUAUAUCUAUAUCUGUAUCUAUCUAUAUCUCCAGAAUAAAUAAGCCUUCUGGCCCAUAUUAUAAAUAAACUAACAUCUAGAAAAAAAGAGAGAAACACAAGUAGAGCUUUUCACUUAAUGAGUAUUUUUCUGACCUUAAACUUAUGACAUUUGUUUUAUAAAAUAUGAUAUAAUUGUUGUAAAAUUGUUGUAAGUGAUUUAAAAACCAAAAAUCUUCAUUGAACAUUUCAAUGAAGUAAUCCUUUAUUAAGUAAAAAGAAUCAAUAGAGAACUAAGUUGAAGUUGAACUUUGACCACUUAAAUGUGGUUUACUGUCUCUACCAAAUCACUAAACCAUUGCAGUAAAACCAUUGCAGUAAAUGUAACUUUUGCUCCUGAAAUUGUGCCUAGUCAAUUAAUUUGCUGUAUACCUUUAUUGUAAGCAUUUAUGUUUUCCAGAAUUAUUUCUGUUUCCCAAUUUUGCUCUUUUCAUAGGGACGUGUAUUUUGCUUAAUAUAUUUUGAAUGUGCCUUUCUCUUUUUGAAGCUGGUGUUAUGGAUAAGUAGUAGACUGUAGUAGAGUUAGACAUCAUUUCGUUUGUGAGGCCAUAGUGACAGUCUUUUUUUAUGAAAGUACUGUUCAUAAGUAUGUGUGUGUGGUCAGCAGAGUCAUGCACACACAUGAUCAUUCUUGCACCAGACUGCUUACUGCUCUUUGAAUUCCAGGCUUUUUCCUGCUGGUGUCCUUUCAUUAUGCCUUAGGCAAUGAAGAUGUAUAGUAUUAUUAACUAAGAAAAAUAGUUAAAAAGAUUACUCUAUUGUUGAAGUGUGUAUAGUAGCUCCAGUUCUUCAUGUAAAGAAUCCAGAAAGUCCUUCUUUCAUUAGUAUGUAAAAUUUAGAAUUUACAGUAUAUUUCAUGUAGAUAAAUGUUAACCUACGUGGCAAAACCUGCUAUAUUAAUAUCAGCCCAUGUUCUUGUGUAAAGUAGGUUUCUUUUUUGUCUUACUGUAUUCCAAUGACAGUUUAAUAUAUAUGCAUAUAUGUAUAUGUGAUUUAACAUAGAUUGUGGACUAAGUAUUCCAUGUACAGAGAAAAGUUUCUAGACCAAAUUUCUGGGCUCAGGAUCACCAAAGAAAUCAGGGAAGAUUUUGUCCAUUUCAAUGAUUGCAACUUCUGAAAGCAAAGAUAAUUCCAAAUUUGAUUAGAGAACACUAAACUUUACUUCUUUGUUUAUUGAGUUUUUGGUGACUUAUGUGGAGUGUGGACCCCUCUCCCCACAAACAACAAAAAAAAUCAGUCUUCGUAUUCCAAUUAUGCAUUGGCUUUUGAACAUUACAAUUUUAAAAGCAUAAAUAAAUGGUUUUAUGUUUGCCUAUUGCCAGAAGGUUAAGAAAUUAGCCAUACCAUUUUUUUAAAAAGCCUGUGGAAAUAGGCCAAAAUUAAUGCCAAGGAUUAUAUUUAUAGGCCAGGGAUUUAGCUCAGUGGUUCCGGUGCCUGCCUUGCAAGCACAAGGUCCCAAGUUUGAUCCCCAGUACCAAAAAAAAAAAAGAAUUAUAUUUAUAGGAAUGCAGAAGUGCUUCUCAUGUGCUAUUCAUAUAUUUUUACCAUAUUUGUUACUAUAUUUGUAUCUGUUUUUAUUUAUAUUUUUAUUAUAUUUUCAAUUAUUUACACAUUUUUAUUGUAUUUGUUGCUUAUGGUUGCAAAAGUUUAAAAAAUUUGAGAGUCUCAAUGAUUAGCUUUUAUUUGACUAACCAGUUUACUACUGAGUUUUUGCCCUCUUUUUUCAAAUUCCAUAUCAUCUGGUAUUAUGUUGACACUGCUAGUGUAUUCAAUAUUUAUUGAUAUUUAUGGAUGAUUAGUAUAAAGAUUUAAGAUGUUGUGAUCCUUAUGUAUUGAUGCUUAAAAUGUUCAUGUUUUAGUCACAUGUAUUAUUUUAAAUAAAAA